rnacentral:rRNA from 1 species
UACGUAGGGAGCAAGCGUUGUCCGGAAUUAUUGGGCGUAAAGAGCGCGUAGGCGGUCCGAUAAGUCGGCUGUGAAAGUCAGGGGCUCAACCCUUGAAAGCCGGCCGAUACUGUCGGACUAGAGUCCGGAAGAGGCAAGUGGAAUUCCCGGUGUAGCGGUGAAAUGCGCAGAUAUCGGGAGGAACACCAAUGGCGAAGGCAGCUUGCUGGGACGGUACUGACGCUGAGGCGCGAAAGCGUGGGGAGCAAACAGG